AGAGUUUGAUCCUGGCUCAGGAUGAACGCUGGCGGCGUGCUUAACACAUGCAAGUCGAACGGACCCUGUCUUUCGAGAUAAGGGUUAGUGGCAGACGGGUGCGUAACACGUAGGUGACCUGCCCUGGAGUGGGGAAUAACUAUUCUAACGAAUAGCUAAUACCGCAUACGGUCGGCGAUUCAGUUCGUCGAGUAAAGCUCCCGUAAGGGAGCGCUUUGGGAUGGGCCUGCGGCGGAUUAGGUAGUUGGUGGGGUAAAGGCCUACCAAGCCGAUGAUCCGUAGGGGGCGUGAGAGCGUGGCCCCCCACACUGGCACUGAGAUACGGGCCAGACUCCUACGGGAGGCAGCAGUGAGGAAUAUUGCACAAUGGGCGCAAGCCUGAUGCAGCAACGCCGCGUGAGGGACGAAGGCCUUCGGGUUGUAAACCUCUUUUCUGGGGGACGAGACAAGGACG
rnacentral:rRNA from 1 species